rnacentral:lncRNA from 1 species
UUUUUUUUUUUUCCACUGCAUGAUAUUCAAGUCAGGUAUUCAUGGUGAAUAAAGCUGAUAAUAUAUAAGCUGAAAAUGCAAUAGAAAACUUCAAAGACUACGUUUUCAAAUAAUGAAACCUAAAACAUCUGUAUGCAAGUAAUGACAGGCAACUUUUACUAAUAACUUUUUUUUUACAGAACAGUUUUACAGAAGUUUUACUGACCUCUAUGAUACAGGCACUUUUAAAUUCACACAUAUGUAUUUGGGGGCUUAUUUUGAGAUUUGAUGACUAAAAAUGUGACUAAGCCAGUACUCAACUUACUUCUCCUUAGACUACACUAGUUGUACACAGAACUAAAUAUUCUCACCAAAUAUCAACUUCAUAUGCUUUUCAACUACUUAUAGCUUCUGCCAAGACAAGGAAGAACUAUAUGUAAGUUGUAUGCAAAACAUCUCAGGAAAAUAUUAGGUCUGCAGAACCUUUGUCACAGAACAAAAAAAAAUCCAUAGACCCUUACCUUCCUUUGAACAUCGAUAUAUUCAUUUCCUGAUCUCUUUGUAGACAUAGCAAGUGUGUGCUAUACUACCUUUAACAUUAACACAUUCAGCAGGCUUGUAUAUGACAGAACAAUUACAAUGCUCUCAGUCAUGACCAUGUCUACCAGAGGUUACUGUUAUACUGAGUCGUGUUUAAAUACUAUUUACUUGUCACUGUUCAAGUUAACACUUUCUUUUAUUUUCUGCUAAAAUAACAGCUAAGGUCUGGACUUAACAUUAUCCAUAAAUCCAUAGUGAAAGACUGCUUCAAAAAAAUGGAUAAAUUUGUGGCCAAGGUAAGUAGGUUGUUUCUUUACUUCCAGGAAUUUUUAGGAAUUAUUAAAAUAAAAUUUUAAGAAAUUUUAAAGACAUAGAAGAGCUUUUUAUACAAGCAGUCCCAAUGCUGAUCAAAGCUGUACAGAUCUGUGGGAUUGUGACACAUUACCAAGCACUAUGGAUUUCACUCACAAAAAUCUUUUGGCCCACAUCCAUUUCAAGGUCAAUGCAUCAUCACAGGCUUUUAAAAAACAUUUAAUUUCAAUUCAGCACUAAAACCCAUAGCAGUCUGUGCCUUUUCAGAAACACUUUACAUCACAUGGGUCAGGAUUAGCCAUGCAGCUGAUGAUACCUAUUUUGUUUGGAAAAGCAGUGUUCAUUCUAUAUAUCAAAGAACAUUUGAAUCUUAAUUAGAUUUCAUAAGAUUAUUUUUCAUUUUUUCUUAAAUUUCUUUUGAAUAAAUCCUUACAUGCUUGUUCUCAAUUCACAUUUUGCUUGCCAUAAUACUGAAUGUCAUUUUUUUACAAAUCAUCUAAUAAACACUUCUUAAUAAUCUUUUCUUCACAGUCAAAUGAUCACUGCACUUGGCAAGAGAUCCAUGCACAAUCCAGGGAGAUACUUCAAAGAAUUGAAAACUACUCUUUCAAAAGAAGAGCAGCACAUUAGCAAAGUUAACUUCCAUAAAAUACUUUGAGGAUCUACUAUCACGUCAAGAUAAAUUAUCCUAUUUUUCUAAAAAUUAAAGGAAGUAGUAUACACAUAGUUUCUAUUUAAAAAUAUAAAUUGCUUAACUUAUUUUUUUCAGGAUAUUUUUUCUAAACUACUAUAAUAACUUUAGACUUAAUAAAAAUGAUGCAAGAGAUCAUGUAAAUAUGUUUGUGUUUAUUUGUUUUACAAAAAAAGGGGACAUUUUUUACAAAAUAGGUAUCAUAGAUACAGCUCUCCAAAUCUUGUCUUCAGGCUAAAAAGUGUGAAAUCAAGUAGUGUAACUGAUAUGCUCAGUACAUUCAUCGAGUUAUGGAAAUAUGAACCUAUGCCAGUCUAAUGUUUUUCCAGUCAGAUCUCAUACCACACAUUUGCACUGCAGUUACAAGGCUACCUUGCUGUUCAUGUGUGAAAAGAUAUGACUGUUUCCAUAACGCCAUGCUGCCAGGCUUCCACAAGCAUCCAUGAAAAUUUUAAGAUUUCAGUUUGAUCAUCUGGAUGAAAACUAUAUAUACAGACAAAA